GUCAUCGUGGCCUUUUGGAGUCCAUGACCCAUCUGAUACUUGCCUCUGCAACUCCUCCUGUUCAUAACAGAAAGAAAUAUUAACAGCCUUGAUAAGAAAUAUUAACAGCCUUGAUAAAUUCACACUAUAACAUAUUAAUGCACUUAUUCUCUGAUUGCUAAUCAUGUGCUGGUUUCAUCUCUUAGUAUUUAAACAGAACGUGGACAGUGAGAUGGCAUAUGCAUGUUUAGACAGUUUGGCUACUUUCUUUGCUAUACAUAAAUAUACAUAAAUAUGGUGCUAAAUUGUCAUGCUGAUCAUUUACUUUUAAUCACUCCAUGUAUCAGAUUCACUGGUCUUAAUAUCAGAUUAGACAGUAUGCUCAAUGUUGUAUAAUUUCAGCCCUGAUCCAAAUAUUAACGAAGAUGUAAAAGAAAGAAAGUCAGUUAUGUUUUUACCAUUUUCUCAAACACCUCCUUUGUCUUGUCAUUUGGAAUGUAAUAACCUCCAUCCUCCUUUGGUUUUGAACGUGCUCUCACCCAAUCAUAACUACGCCCAGUACGCUCAUUCGAUAAAUUUGACGGGUUAACUGAUUCGGAAUCAGUAAAAGAUUUGAUGGGGUCAUCAACAGACCACUUAGUCCUCUUUGCCGCAUAUCCAACUGGCCCUAGGUAAUGUACAUGUUCAUUACAUUUUUGACUUUUCUUUGCUAAAUAUAACUCCUUCCAAUUUUUUAUAUUUAAAACAAAACAUAUAACUUUACUUUUUUAAUCUGUAUCUAUAAAUAAAAUAAUUGCUCACACAUUUGUCUCGACUAGAGUACAAUUUUAUUGAUAUUAUUUAGCUUUAAAAAUACUACAUAUACAUAGUAUUAUGAUAUUAUCUUUACAUACAAAAUCAAGAGAAUAUGGCAUACAUACAAAAUCUAAUAUGUCCAACCUAUAUUAAUUUAAUAUCAACUUAUAAAUUGUUAUUCAAAGUUUUUUUCGAUCUAUAAGUUUAGAACACCCUAUUAUUUACUUGCACUCCAGCUUUUUUACCAACCUUAAGUCUUUAAAUUAAUAAUUGGAAUCAGGGAGUUGAAGCUAAGAUCCGCAGAUUAGUAACAUAAUUACUUGUAUUUGAACUCUUCCUACAGUUAACUCAAUCAAAGUUAAAGUCUCUUCCAUCACACUAAAUUAGUGUGAUGGAACUAGGAACAAGCUGCUUAAACUCCUGUUAACAGGGGACUGAGAGAAGCAGAUAGUAUGUUAAUAAUAUUUCUUAUACUCUAUUCUUUUUUGUAUUUUUGGUAUUUUGUAAUUCCUAUCUCUAAAAAAAACAGAUAUUAUAUAUACAACAAACAAGAAUCCAUAGAAAUUCGAGCAAUGCUACAUGGGACUUUAAGAAGCUAACUAGCAAUAGAUAAUAUAAGACUCUUCAGCAACUAAAAAUAGAACUGUAAAUAUCAAUAUUUACCUGACAGUAGUCUGGCUACAGGAUUGAUGUCAAGAUGCAGCAGAGCAGAAAAUCCCACAGAAAUAUUUGCCUCUGAGAACCUAAACAAGACAAUUGGCACUUAUUUUAGUGUAUAGCAUUAAUGCUUUCAUAAGAGAACCUAGACAAGACAAUUUUAUGCGUCGUCUGCUUAUGAGAUCAGUUGAUAUGCUAUCAAGUUCUUAACUUGGUUAUUUCAGAAUGAGAUCAUGUGACAUGACACCUACUUUGACAUGCUUCAGCUAAUGACCUAAAGCGCUACACAAGUGGGAUAAAAUAAAAGACAAUUACAAACCAAAAUCUCUUGUGCAAACAACAUGGGACAUGUCCAAUUAGUAUGAAGUCUCUCAUCAUCUUUCAACUAAUUUAGCCCAUGUUUGUGCACACAGUUGCCUUCUCCAAUUAUUCACUCACAACAACAAUAUACACAUAGGGAAGAUUACAAUAAGUAUGCUGCUGUCCAAGUUAUCCUGUCUAAGGUAUAUCAGGAUUUCGCGGUACUUAAAUUCUAGACAUUCUUGAAAGAAUAUAGCUUCUGCACUAAAGCAAUAUCAAGCCAAGGCAUAUUAUUUUGCAUGUGCUUGCAGAAAACUACAAUCAACAUAUAUUUGUAAAUCGGCCGAAAUCAGCCCAGGAGGCUCUGGGUUAAAAUAAACAAAUAUCAUGGUAUUAUCAGCACCUAGAUUUCACGACAUAGGUAUACAUAUAAUAAACUACACCCCUGAAGUUUCCUGGACUUCAGCAAAAGCAUUAGUACACCUAAAACACUAAGAUUUGACAGAUUUUUGCAAGAAAUGACUAAUCUUAUUAUCAUAAAGCAAACAUAACAUACAAGUCAGGUAGAAUCCAUGCCGACCUUACCUUACUGAGGCACAAAGUGUUUCCACAAAGACUUUGUGAAUAAAAAGAUAAAUAAAUAAAAGAAUAUAUUUAACUUUAAAAUAAAUAAAAACUCGAGGAGCUGCAAGAAGUCAUAUAGUUACAAGUACGGCAGAAACAAUUGAAAGAAGCUAAUGGCGCAAAAUAUAAAUCCUUAAAAACACUACGAUAUGUAACGCUAGACAUAUUAUAUAAUAACACCAUGACUAAACAAAUCUACAAACAUCAAAUUGACAGAGGCAAUCACAAUCAUAUGUUGAAUAUUGUAACUUGGGAUCACUUGAUUCAUCAAACACUCACAAUUUUGAUAGCAGCAAUAGCUACUGUACAGUCAAAUCAAAAGUGCAUCAUCAACUACAGUACUAGUUUAAACCAACUCAAAUUCACAGCAUUGAUGUUACAGAACUGAACAUACUAGACCAAAAAACCAACAAAAAACUGAAAGAAGCUAAUGGCGCAAAAUACUAACAAAAAACUAAUACUAAAAAACACUGCAAUAUGUAAAGCUAAACAUUUUAUAUAAUCACAUCAUGACUAAACAAAGCUACAAACAUCAAAUUGACAUCAAAUUAAGUACCCGGCAAGGACUUUGUACUCAAAAUUAAGUACCCACAACCAAAAUUAUGUACCCAAUAACCAGCCCCCAACACCUAGCAAAAUAACUCAAACACCCAUCACCGAGCAAUGAAUCAAACACCUGGAAUGCAGUAACAAAAUUAAGUAUAUGGGUAGUAACAAACUUAAGUGCCCAGCAAAGGCUUUCUUCUGAAAAUUCAGUACCCAACAACCAGCCCAACACCUAGCGAGAAAUCAUACACCCAAAUAACUCGAAACGGAAAAGAAAGAGACCUCGAUCCCUCGACAACUAGACAGGAAAAAGAGACGAGAAUGGAAAAGUGAGAAGAGAAUGGAGAUGGGAGAAAGUGAGAUUGACACCUGCAAUGAUUAAUCGAACGAGACGGAAGAGAAGUCGAGAACGAAGUCCAGAGUCGUGUCCGGAGUCUUGGAAGCGCACAACUGCUUUUCGCGCACAACUUCUUUUCUUUUCCU
rnacentral:lncRNA from 1 species